rnacentral:rRNA from 1 species
GUGGGGAAUAUUGGACAAUGGGCGAAAGCCUGAUCCAGCCAUGCCGCGUGUGUGAAGAAGGUCUUCGGAUUGUAAAGCACUUUAAGUUGGGAGGAAGGGCAGUAAGUUAAUACCUUGCUGUUUUGACGUUACCAACAGAAUAAGCACCGGCUAACUUCGUGCCAGCAGCCGCGGUAAUACGAAGGGUGCAAGCGUUAAUCGGAAUUACUGGGCGUAAAGCGCGCGUAGGUGGUUCAGUAAGUUGGAGGUGAAAUCCCCGGGCUCAACCUGGGAACUGCCUCCAAAACUACUGAGCUAGAGUACGGUAGAGGGUAGUGGAAUUUCCUGUGUAGCGGUGAAAUGCGUAGAUAUAGGAAGGAACACCAGUGGCGAAGGCGACUACCUGGACUGAUACUGACACUGAGGUGCGAAAGCGUGGGGAGCAAACAGGAUUAGAAACCCGAGUAGUCC